rnacentral:lncRNA from 1 species
GUAACUGCAGGCAAUCUCUCCGGUCGACAUUCUUUUCGAUAGCUAACAAGAAACGUUGAAAAAGAGAACGGAAAUCAAUAGAGGAUCGAAACCAUAGAAGAAUAUUCAAACUAUUAGGACGGAGAAAGAGUUAAAGAGGAGUGUAGAGGUAGAACGGCGAAGGACGGCGAUAAACUUACGUUGAUGAGAACGGCGGAAGAGGAGGAGUGCUCGGCGCUGCAACUGAAGCUAAUCUAGGGUUUCAAUAGCAAGGGCUUCCUCGUUGAGCUACGAUGUGAAAUAUAUACAUGAAAGGCAAGGGAGUUGGGCUUGUCCUCACGUUAUGUGCUUCAAUACUGAACGACUGCCAGGCCAGGCCCAUCAAUCGAGUUUCGCAUUAAGCCCAAUACAGAUGGCCAGUGUUUAAAUCAAUCAAUUUACUGACUCUCUAUUCAGACGGCGUUGUCCAGCCCAUUUCACUUCCUUUCCAAAAUUAUUUUUCAUUGUUAUCCAAAGUAGAAAAAUAAAAUGUUCGUUAGAUGUCGUCUGUAUUUUAUUAUGCUACAUUCUCUAUAUUAAGAAAAAUAUUAUGUGUGAUGUUUUAUUCAUCUGAAACGAAAAUAUUCACAAAGGAAAAAGUCGAUAUCAAAAUGGCGAGCUGAUUUUGCGGUUAAAACUUUUCAUUACUAUCACAACACGAGAUAAAUCUCAAUGAGAUACCCACUCAAAUAAAGAUGACGACAUUCCAAACUCAUUUAACCGAAAAAGAAAACAAAAAGAAACUAUAACAACAAAAAUCCAGAUCCAAAAGCCAAAAAAACUAAAAACUGAAGGAAACUAAGACAACAAGAAGAAAACCAAAAUAGUGCAAAGGAAGUGGAAAAGGUUCGUUGGAUUGGAUGGGAAACUCGCAGGAUUGCACGAACCCAGUCUAUACAACCUUUGUAUAGUCAAUUUGGUGGAUUAGCUUGAUGGAUACACCUAUCCAUUAUAAGAUGUAACUGAAUCGAAUCAUGAAACAUCCAAAUUACUAACAUACGACUCUACCAACUUAACUAUCCCAUUUAAACAUCAUCAAAAUAACCCUACAUUUUAAUUUCAUGACUUCGAUUGAUGUGUAUAUUAUGUUUACAGGUGUUUGUUGUCACUAACACAACUACAGGAGUUGGAAUUAAAUUAAAAAUAAAGAGUGGGUUGAAUAUUUGAAGGUACCGUAUGAGAGCAGAAGAGAGAGCCAAAAGUAGUAAAAUGUAAUUGGACAGAACAAUAAUGGCGAGAGAGUGAAAGACAAAGGGACAGACGCGAUCCCCUUAUCUUCCUUCUUUAUGGUAAGCUUUCCCCCCCUUUAUUUUCUCUCUGUUUCCUUCAACUUUCACACAUCAAUUUGCAGAGAAGAGCUUAGGUUUAUACAGCCUUUUUCUUUCUUCAACUGUCGGUUUCUACCACAGCUACACUAGCCCUGCCAGCGUUGUCUUCCGAUUCGAGGUCCACGGCUGAGAGAAGUUGGCACUCGACCUCGUCGGACUGGAGGACUGGUCGGCCGCUUGUUGUGACGGAUGCCGGCGGGAAGAAGUUGUGCGGUGGCGUUGCCAUCUGAGUCUGUGAUCGGUAGAGUAAUUCCCCCGGGUUUGACUGGAAGUGGGUCUCGUGCUCUCGUUGCUGCUCUCGUUGGAAGAGAAGAAAUUGGCGUCAAAAUCUGGCGCAAAUGGAAGUUGGGUCUCAGUUAGCAAUUACUCUACAGUCUCGUCUAUAAGAUUGUAGAUUAGUGACUUAACUUUUUAAAUUUCUUAAUCGAUUCUACGGGUGGUGGGGCAUGGCCGUUCUUAGUUGGUGAAGCUUAAUUCCCUUAACGAACUAGACCUAACCAUGCUAACAGCUACGCGGAGGCAUCUUUCAUGGCCAGCUUCUUAAAGGAAAUAUGGCCUUUUAGGCCGAAGAAAUUUGAGGCGAUACAAGUCUGUGACGCCCCUAAAUGUUGUCAGCCGCACGCAAACUUAAUCGUAGACAUGUGAUCAACAAUCUUAAGAGCUAUAUUGAUUUGUCAUUUGAAUCUUUUUGGAAUAGCGAAUGCAACCCAUUGCAGUUUCAGUCAAAACAAUUUCUAUGCACAUCGACUUCCUGAAACAAACAUCGGCAAGAGCAAAGCUUUAAGCUUUAAGACUUGCCACAACAGAAAAGCAAGCUAUCACAAGUUGGAAUCAUAUCCUUUACUGAAUACCACCUGACCUACAACAAUAUAGUUUGCUCAUCCUUCAGCGAAAUCAUUCGUAGCCACAACCAGGCAGGCUAAUCCAACCAUGAAGGAUCCUAAUGAUCAUCAAGGGAAGAAAUAAUAACGAUAUGAUUCUGAAGAAGAUAUAGAGCAACAGAUCUCAGGCAUUUAUAUUUCUCUAAACACCAAAAGACUAGCGUUACUGUAAAUCCAAAUAAACUGCCAGAAAACUCAUAAACUUCAGUUGCAAGUGAAACAAUAUCUCCAACCUCCAAAAACUACACUGAAACAAAACUUAGGAUAACAGAACAAUUCUGAAAGCAAAGGCCAAUGAAACUAUUUCUAAUCGAACAGGGAGAAACCCAUGUCAUCAUCGCUCUCCUCCUUGGCCUCCUCCUGCAAAACCAAUUAGAAACAAGAUCCCAGUAAAAAAAUGCAAAAAAUUCGAGCUAACAGCGACAAACAACAAUCAAAAGUUGACUAAAUUUACCUUCUUUUCCUCAGCAGCAGGGGCAGCAGCUGCAGCAGGAGCAGCACCACCAGCUGGGGCAGCGACGGCAGCAACAGCACCACCGCCGGAAGCACCAGCGUUCAAGAUGAGGUCCUCAACGUUACGCUUCUCAGCCAACUUGGCGAACAAGCUGGCCCAGUAAGACUCACAGUUGACAUUAGCAGCCUUAACCAAUGCGCUGAUCUUAUCCGCCUAUCAACAAACAAGACAAAAAAACCCUAAGCUCAUCUAGCUAAACAGAACAAUUGCAGACAAUGGUAUAUUGGUAUAUAAUCAUCAUAGAGAGUUAUAGAGGCGUACUGUGAUAGGGAUGCCCUCGUCGUGGAGGAUCAUGAUGGCGUAACUGCAGGCAAUCUCUCCGGUCGACAUUCUUUUCGAUAGCUAACAAGAAACGUUGAAAAAGAGAACGGAAAUCAAUAGAGGAUCGAAACCAUAGAAGAAUAUUCAAACUAUUAGGACGGAGAAAGAGUUAAAGAGGAGUGUAGAGGUAGAACGGCGAAGGACGGCGAUAAACUUACGUUGAUGAGAACGGCGGAAGAGGAGGAGUGCUCGGCGCUGCAACUGAAGCUAAUCUAGGGUUUCAAUAGCAA